UGGGUCGUCAUCUUGGUCUAUGUCUGGUUGUUCUUCUCCUAUGUUUACUUUGAAGAAACUAGAUUGGUCCAAACAUGCGGAGGACUGGAAUCGAUUCGAAAUAUAUGGUGGAUCUGUUUGGCAGCGCUGGGAAUGCUGAUACCUGCGAGUAUAUCAUCUUGCUUCUAUUGUUGUUGGAAAUAAUCGAGACGAAACGUGUGUGUAUAUGGAAUUCC
rnacentral:rRNA from 1 species